CGAGUUGGUCAGGCAAUCGCUGGUUUAUUGAAGCUCUCAACCGUUGUAAAACAACCUAGAGGACAAGUAGACGAGAGGAAAGUCCGGGCUACACAGGGCAGAGUGCCGGAUAACGUCCGGGGGGCGCGAGCCUACGACCAGUGCAACAGAGAGCAAACCGCCGAUGGCUCGUAAGAGAUCAGGUAAGGGUGAAAGGGUGCGGUAAGAGCGCACCGCGUGAGUGGCAACAUUUCACGGCACGGUAAACUCCACUCGUAGCAAGACCAAAUAGGAAUCCAACGUGCGGCCCGCAUGGGAUUCGGGUAGGUUGCUUGAGCGUUUGUGCAAAUAAACGCCUAGAGGAAUGAUUGUCCGCGACAGAACCCGGCUUAUCGACCAACUCACUUU
rnacentral:RNase_P_RNA from 1 species